rnacentral:rRNA from 1 species
UGGGGAAUAUUGCACAAUGGGGGAAACCCUGAUGCAGCGACGCCGCGUGAACGAAGAAGGUAUUCGUAUCGUAAAGUUCUGUCCUAUGGGAAGAUAAUGACAGUACCAUAGAAGAAAGCUCCGGCUAAAUACGUGCCAGCAGCCGCGGUAAUACGUAUGGAGCGAGCGUUGUCCGGAAUUAUUGGGCGUAAAGGGUACGCAGGCGGUUUAAUAAGUCGAAUGUUAAAGAUCGGGGCUCAACCCCGUAAAGCAUUGGAAACUGAUAAACUUGAGUACUGGAGAGGAAAGUGGAAUUCCUAGUGUAGUGGUGAAAUACGUAGAUAUUAGGAGGAAUACCAGUAGCGAAGGCGACUUUCUGGACACAAACUGACGCUGAGGUACGAAAGCGUGGGGAGCAAACAGG